GACGUAGGGGGCCAGCGUUGCUCGGAAUUACUGGGCGUAAAGGGUUCGUAGGCGGUGCGGCAAGUCGGAAGUGAAAUCUCCAGGCUUAACUUGGAGGCUGCUCCCGAAACUGCCGUGCUAGAGUGCGGGAGAGGCGAGUGGAAUUACAGGUGUAGCGGUGAAAUGCGUAGAUAUCUGUAGGAACACCCGUGGCGAAGGCGGCUCGCUGGACCGCAACUGACGCUGAGGAACGAAAGCUAGGGGAGCAAACAGG
rnacentral:rRNA from 1 species